rnacentral:tRNA from 1 species
GGACGCUUAGCUCAGCUGGUUAGAGCACCUCGUUUACACCGAGGGGGUCGAAGGUUCGAAUCCCUCAGCGUCCACCA